rnacentral:rRNA from 1 species
UACGAAGGGGGCUAGCGUUGCUCGGAAUUACUGGGCGUAAAGGGCGCGUAGGCGGCACUGUUAGUCAGGCGUGAAAGUCCUGGGCUCAACCUGGGAACUGCGCUUGAUACGGCAGAGCUAGAGGAUGGAAGAGGCUCGCGGAAUUCCCAGUGUAGAGGUGAAAUUCGUAGAUAUUGGGAAGAACACCGGUGGCGAAGGCGGCGAGCUGGUCCAU